AUUACGGUGGUCCAGAGGUAAUGACGUCCCUGUUCCCAUUCCUAGAAACUUAGGAAAUCAUGGGUUCGAGUCCCAGCUGUAGCA